rnacentral:lncRNA from 1 species
UAAUGAUUCGGGUGAUGUCGUUCCUUUAUUUUUCCUGUUUUUCAUACAUUAAUAUGCUAGGCUAGACAUCUUUGUAUUGGAUGGAUGACAAAACUGAUUGACUCCUAGUUUUUAAUUCAAAACCUUAUGUUUUUAUCUUAAUUCUUACGUUGUGGUUUUUUUAAUAUGCAUAUCUAUAUUGUUUUAAUGUUUACGCACCAUUAGGACAAUAAGUUGCUUAUUCGUAGUGUUGAAAAACUCACAGUAGGUAGAACAUUGUUAUUGGAACGCAUGACAAUGAAUGUUAGGAAUAAUAUUUAUGACGUGUGCGAUCAUGUGUGAUAAUCCUAUACAUCAAUGCGUGUUUGCCAUAUGAAUUCGGAUUAGGAAUAGGAUCGUUUCGUGGUAAUCAUAGGUUUAUUAUAUCUUGGGAAAGAAUAGUAAAUAAAUGUGGAAUUAUUGAUCUUCACAAUUGCAUGAGUUGAGAUCAUUGUCAGAGGUCGAGAAUUAGAACUAAGAGUUGAUCAGUGGCGUCGGAAAUCCAAUACAUUCACUCAUCUAAAAUCUAAAACAAAUUCUCAUAAAUUUUGCAAAUGUUUAGUUAUAGAACUUAAUUAGCUAUUCAAACAAACGUUAACGUUUAGUUAAUCUCACGAAUUUAAUUAUAUCGAAUACACUGGAAUUAGACCUUAUUCUCUGUGGGACGAUAACUCUUUCAUCACAAUUAUUACUUGUACAACGAACCUGUACGCUUGCGGGAUUUUAACGAACAAGUUUUUAAUGCCGUUGCCGGGGAAUAACGGUGUUAAUUUUAGUUAUUAGAUAUUUUAAAUUCGUUUAUUUUUAUUCUUAUUUCAUUUUUAGUAGUUGCUUUUAGGCUACCAUUAAACAGCUUAGUUCUCUUGUGUCUUGACACUUUUUAAGCGACAUUAGUUUAUGCAAAAUCCUGAGGAACCAGAUCUCUUCCCAAUAGAUCAUGAAAUAGAAAGAACAUUUAGAAAUCGUAGACGAGUUCAACGUCAAGCAAGGAGAAUGGCCGAUAACCAAAAUCAACCACAACAUCAGGUCCAGCUUCACGAGCAAAUACCACAACCAAAUCAACCGAGAGCUAUCCACAACGAUGCCCCUGUCUUAGUUGGAGAUUAUGUCAAUCCAAUUCCUGCACCAGUGCAACCAGCUGCAGUAUAUCCUCCCUUUGGACAACCUAAUUUCCACCUUAGACCAGAUGUCAUCAGUUUGUUCCAAAAUCACUAAGACAUCAAGUUCUUUGGAAAAGCCAUAGAGAAUCCUCAUGAACAUAUUUUGGCGUUUCUUAUGCUAUGUGAGGUAAUCAGUCACGAAGGAAUAUCAAUAUAUGCAUUUCGAAUGAGAUUAUUCCCUCAUACCUUGAAAGACACUGUAAGGGAAUGGUUUCUUUGUUUACCACCUGGAAGCAUUCAAUCUUGGAACGAUAUGGUUCAAGAAUUCACGAUGAAAUUUUUUCCACCUUUUCAAGUUCAUCAAGUCAGGAAUGAAGUCCACACUUUCAAGCAGAAAGAGCUCGAAAGCUAUCCAGAGGUAAGGGAGAGAUUCAAGAAUUUUUUCAGAAAAUGCCCCAGCUUUGACAUCCCUAAAAAGGCUCAGCAAUAUCUAUUCUACUACGGUCUAAAGCAAGAAUUCAGAAAUAUGAUAGAUGCUUCUGCAGGAGGAUCGGUGAUGAAACUUGAUGUGGAUGAGGCAUAUGACUUGUAUGAAAGAAUAGCCGAGAAUCAAUCGAUGUGGCCAACCGAUAGGAAAACGCCAAGGAAGACAGCAGGACUGCAUAAUGUAGAUGCAGUAACAGCACUGGCUGCACAAAUGGAAGUUCUCACAAUGAAAAUGGAUAAUCUAUCUCAGUCAGUUAAUAUGGUACAUCAAUCUCCACCGGUUUGUGAAGGUUGUGGAGCUGAUCAUAAUACUACGCACUGCCCUCUGGCGUCUACACAUGUUAACCAGUCUAAAGAAGUGAACUAUGCGCAGAACUUUCAGAGACAGUAAAAUAGUCCCUUCUCCAACACAUUUAAUCUGGGUUGGAGAAAUCAUCCAAACUUUUCGUGGUCUAGCAAUCAGAGACAAGGACAAGGAGGUAACAAUCAGAAUAAACCACCGGGGUUCCAAGAGCAGCAACAACAGCAAGGAAAGAAACCGUCUUUAGAAGAUUUGCUGGCUCGGUACAUUAUUAAAAUUGAGACCAACUUUCAAAAUUAACAGGCCUCAAUCAAGAACUUGGAACAACAGGUGGGACAGAUUGCAGCCGCGUUAUCAGGUAGAGCUCAAGGGACGUUACCGAGCAACACCGAGACAAACCCUAAGAAGCAGGUCAAAGCCAUAACUACACGAAGUGGAAUCCAACUUCCAGAAAUACAUGUAAAGCGCCAACAACUAUCACAGAAAAGACACCUACAACGGGUGAAGAGCAAGUUGAUGAAUUAGACAAAACAACAGAGAAAAAUCAAAUUGAGUCAUCGGGCAGUCUACGAGUUAAGACAAGCACUCUUGUCAAAGCAUAUGUGCCUCCAAUCCCAUUCCCACAGAGACUGCAAAAACAUAAGCUAGAUAAGCAGUUUCAUAAAUUUUUGUAUGUAAUUAAGAAGCUAUACAUUAACAUACCGUUCGCUGAAGCCCUAGCUCAAAUGCCCAGCUACGCCAAGUUUAUGAAAGACAUCUUAUCAAACAAGAGAAAGCUAGAAGACAAUGAAACGGUCAUGCUUAUUGAGGAGUGCAACGCAAUUCUCCAACACAAAUUACCACCGAAACUAAAAGACCCAGGGAGUUUUACUAUUCUUUGUAAUAGUAGUAAUUUGUAUAUAGAUAAGGCAUUAUGAGAUUUAGGAGCUAACAUCAAUUUAAUGCCCUUAUCUCUUUUCAAGAAACUACUGCAGUUAGCCGAUAGGUCAAUCAAGCACCCGUGAGGUAUUUGUGAAGAUAUUUUGGUCAAGGUCAAUAAGUUUAUCUUCCCAGUGGACUUCAUUAUUCUAGAUAUGGAAGAAGAUCAGGACUUCCCCCUCAUAUUGGGUCGCCCAUUUUUGGCUACGGGAAGGGCUCUGAUAGAUGUGCAAAAGGGUCAGUUAAUAUUGAGGUUAGAUGAAGAUGAACUGACAAUCAAUGUGUUUAGAGCCUUCAAAUUUCAGAAUGAACUAGAUUCUUGUAUGCAGAUUGACAUAAUAAGGAAAGCAGUGUCAGAGGCAUUUAAACUUGAUCACCUUCAAGAUCCGCUUGAGGCUUGCUUGGUACAUUCUUAGGAAUUCAUCAGAAAAAGAGGAAUCAGAAGAGUGUGCACGUUAUUUAGCAGCCAUACGACCAAUUUUCAAGCAGCCAUGUUUGGAGCUCGCCGAAAGACCCACAAAACCUUUACCAUCUAUACAGCAAGCUCCAACUCUUGAACUCAAACAGUUGCCCAUUCAUCUGCGCUAUGCGUAUUUGGGGGAAAAGAAUUCGCUUCUAGUAAUUAUCUCGAACAAUCUUACAGAAUCAGAGGAAGAUCAGCUUCUAAGAGUACUCCGGGAGCACAAGACAGCAUUAGGAUGGACGAUAUCAGACAUAAGAGGCAUCAGCCCUUCGCUUUGCAUGCACAAGAUAUUGAUGGAAGAUGAUUACAAAGCUUCAGUUGAGCAUCAACGUAGAUUAAACCCGAAUAUGCAGAAAGUGGUAAGAAAAGAAGUAUUAAAGCUUUUGGAUGCAGGGAUAAUCUAUCCCAUAUCAGACAGUCAUUGGGUCAGUCCAGUACAAGUAGUGCCGAAAAAAGGAAGAAUCACGGUGGUCCCAAAUGAAAAUAACAAGCUCAUCCCUACACGGACAUUUACUAGUUUGAGAGUCUGCAUUGAUUAUCGCAAACUCAACAACGCCACUAGGAAAGAUCACUUUUCCCUCCCUUUCAUUGACCAAAUGUUGGAGAGACUCGCUGGACAUGCAUACUAAUUUCUUAGAUGGUUAUUCGGGGUACAACCAGAUUCCUAUAGCACCUGAUGAUCAAGAGAAGAUAACCUUUACAUGCCCUUGUGGCACUUUUGCUUAUAAGAGGAUGCCCUUCGGCCUUUGUAAUGCUCCAGCCACCUUUCAGCGUUGUAUGAUGUUAAUUUUCUCAGACAUGGUGGGACAUAUUAUUGAGGUGUUUAUAGAUUAUUUCUCAGUGUUUGGAAAAUCAUUUAAGGAGUGCUUUGAACACUUGGGAAAAGUGCUGCAGAGAUGUGAAGACACAAACCUUGUAUUAAAUUAGGAAAAAUGUCAUUUCAUGAUUCAAGAAGGGAUUGUGUUAGGGCAUUUGAUUUUAGCACGGGGUAUUGAGGUUGAUAGAGCUAAGAUACAAGUCAUCGAAAAAAUACCACCACUGGUAACAGUUAAGGGAGUUAGAAGUUUCUUGGGUCACGCUGGGUUCUACCGUCGUUUCAUCAAAGAUUUUUCCAAAUCUCGAAGCCAUUAUGCAAUCUACUGGAAAAGGGGCCCCAUUUCACUUUUCUGAGGAGUGCUUGACAGCUUUCAACAUCUUAAAAGAAAAAUUGGUUUCUGCUCCAAUAUUGGCUUCCCCAGAUUGGAAUUAUCCGUUCGAACUUAUGUGUGAUGCUAGUGAUCACGCAGUGGGGGCAGUGUUGAGUCAACGAAAGGAGAAGAGUUCCCAUGUUAUUCACUAUGCCAGUAAGACUUUGGAUGAGGCUCAAAUGAAUUAUGAGACUACAGAGAAAGAGCUUUUGGUAGUAGUGUUCGCUGUUGACAAAUUUAGAUCAUACUUGAUUGGGUCAAAAGUGAUAGUCUAUACGGAUCAUUCAGCCUUAAAAUAUCUACUAAGCAAGAAGGAUGCAAAGCUGAGACUUAUUCGAAGGAUACUCCUAUUGCAAGAGUUUGAUUUGGAGAUCAUAGAUAAAAAGGGGAGUGAGAAUAUUGUGGCAGAUCACCUUUCUCGCCUCGAAUUGCAUGAGUCAAACUCUACAGUGGAGAUCAAUGAAGUUUUUCCUGAUGAAAUGCUUUUUCAGAUUAUCACUACACCAUGGUACGCCAAUUAUGUCAAUUAUUUGGCUCGCCCGAUCAUCCCACCAGACUACUCCAGUCACCAAAAGAAGAAAUUCUUCAGUGACCUAAAACACUACUUUUGGGAUGAUCCAAUUCUUUAUAGAAGGGGUCUAGAUCAAAUCAUACACCGUUGUGUACCAGAGGUAGAGCAGCAGCAAGUGUCAUGUCACUCUGCACCAUAUGGGGGCCACUUCGCAGCAACCAAGACAGCAACAAAGGUACUACAAUCGGGUUUCUAUUAGCCUACGUUGUUCAAGGAUGCACAUUAUAUGGUGAAACAUUGUGACAAGUGUCAAAGGACUGGAAAUAUCUUAAGAAAGAACGAGAUGCCUUUAAACAACAUUUUGGAAGUUGAAAUUUUCGACGUUUGGGGCAUUGACUUCAUGGGACCAUUCCCUCCCUCCUACGGUCAACAAUACAUACUAGUGACAAUGGACUAUGUGUCUAAGUGGGUUGAAGCUGUAGCUUUGCCAACUAACAACGUGCGAGUGGUAACUCAGUUCAUGAAGAAGAACAUUUUCACUCGAUACGGCACUCUAAGGGCAAUCAUUAGUGAUGGUGGAAAGCAUUUCUAUAAUCGAUUAUUUGCAUCGCUGUUGGCCAAAUAUGGAGUAAAACACUGUGUCUCGACUCCGUACCAUCCUCAGACUAGAGGGCAAGUGGAAAUCUCCAAUAGGGAGUUAAAGAAGAUUCUCAAAGCUACAGUCAAUGCUUCCCGCAAGGAUUGGGCUAAGAAACUAGACGAUGCACUUUGGGCUUAUAGAACAGCGUUUAAGGCUCCAAUUGGCAUGUCUCCAUAUCGACUGGUGUUUAGAAGGACCUGUCAUCUGCCCGUUGAGUUAGAGCAUAAGGCAUAUUGGGUAACUCAUUUGCUCAAUUUCAAUAUGAGGGCGGCAGGAGAAAAAAGGGUUCUACAACUCCAUGAGCUAGGGGAAUUUCGUUUGGAUUCAUAUGAGAAUGCAAAAUUUACAAGCAGAAAAUCAAGAGAUGGCAUGACAGACAUAUAAGAGAGAAGGAUUUUGAAGUAGGCCAGCAAGUAUUGAUGUUCAAUUCACGUCUCAGACUCUUUCCUGGAAAGCUAAAAUCUAGGUGGUCAGGUCCUUUCACAGUAGUAGCCGUGCUUCCACAUGGUGCUGUAGAAGUAGUAUCUCAGGAUGAAUAGAGAAGGUUUAAAGUGAAUGGACAACAGUUGAAAGCCUAUUGGGGAGGUGACUACUCCAAUGAGAAGACGACCGUACCUCUUAAUAGUGCAGAGUAGCCUGAGCAACAAAGUCGAGCUAUAGACUAUAAAAAUAGUGCUUAUUAGGAGGCAACCCAAUUCUCUCCCCUUUUAUUUAUUCCGCUUUGUUGCAUUAGAUUAGGAUUUUUUUAUAUGUUUUUUUUAUUGUUUGGGUGUGUUCGAUAGAUUAGGUGUCAUCCAUUCAUUGCUUAGUUGUUGAGUCAAUGCACAGGUCACACAAUUUAAUAUUUGUUUUACACAAGUUUAGGGAAGUUCAAUCAUUCCAGACAUGCAAUUGGAGGGCACCAUGAAUAUCUAGACAAAAAAAAUGAGAUGUUAAAGUCAUCAAGGUUGAAACGUGUAAUUUUGGAUACGAGAAUGCUUACUUAUAAUCUAUUGAUUCCCACAUCAAUUGCACAUUUUUCGAUCAUAGUGAUAAAGGUAUUAGUUUGGGAAUGGAACACGAGUGGUCGGGUUCGUUUGAAACCAAAACGAACCUUUCAAGAUUGGCGUUGAACUUCUAUGUCAUAAUCGUUUUGCAUACUUCUAAACUAUAUUAUGUAAAGAAUUCAGUCGGGGGUGGGUAUGAAGAGUCAGUUAUUAAAAAAAAGGUUAACCAUGCACGGUUGGCAGAUUGGCCAUCUGAGGCCAAUCUACUUUGGCUGUGCGUACGCACGAACCAAGCCAUGCAUACGCACAGCUUGGUCGGGUGAGGGUUUAAAUCCCUCACCCACGCACAUAGUCCCUUUGUUGCAUUAGAUUAGGAUUUUUUUUAUAUGUUUUUUUUAUUGCUUGGGUGUGUUCGAUAGAUUAGGUGUCAUCCAUUCAUUGCUUAGUUGUUGAGUCAAUGCACAGGUCACACAAUUUAAUAUUUGUUUUACACAAGUUUAGGGAAGUUCAAUCAUUCCAGACAUGCAAUUGGAGGGCACCAUGAAUAUCUAGACAAAAAAAAUGAGAUGUUAAAGUCAUCAAGGUUGAAACGUGUAAUUUUGGAUACGAGAAUGCUUACUUAUAAUCUAUUGAUUCCCACAUCAAUUGCACAUUUUUCGAUCAUAGUGAUAAAGGUAUUAGUUUGGGAAUGGAACACGAGUGGUCGGGUUCGUUUGAAACCAAAACGAACCUUUCAAGAUUGGCGUUGAACUUCUAUGUCAUAAUCGUUUUGCAUACUUCUAAACUGUAUUAUGUAAAGAAUUCAGUCAGGGGUGGGUAUGAAGAGUCAGUUAUUAAAAAAAAGGUUAACCAUGCACGGUUGGCAGAUUGGCCAUCUGAGGCCAAUCUACUUUGGCUGUGCGUACGCACGAACCAAGCCAUGCAUACGCACAGCUUGGUCGGGUGAGGGUUUAAAUCCCUCACCCACGCACAUAGUCCCCACAAAUCCCCUCUUCACCCAUACACGAGCACCCCUCUAUUUAUCCACAAAUCGGCGCAUCUUCCCCCUGAUUUCUUCAUCCCUUCACUUGGGCAUUACACAUUGGUCACAUUAGAGUACCUUGUACAUCAACAUCAUCCACUCAAACACUCCCAAUUGCCAAGAACUCGAAGGUAAUAUACUUCACUUUGAACACUUGCGGGUUGCAAUUUUUUUUUUCAAUUUUCGUGCAUUUUGAUGAAUUUUUUUUAUUAUUGUGGAGGUUGGGCUUAGAUAGAUGGUGGAUUUUGUUCAAUUUGAUGUUAACAUUGGUAGAUUCAUAACAACAUAGGCAUAUGGACAUUCUUGCUACAACAUUGCCCACAAAGUGUUUGUUUAAUUGUCCAAAAGACUCAUUGGUCUACAUUUUAGCUUGAAUUGUUGCACAACACUGGGGCUUUCCUCAAUUUAACGACACCUUAUACUUGCUUGCAUCCACUCUAUUGUAUAACUUGAAAUUGGAGGGAAACUACACGUUGUACUUACCACCCCUUCCACCGCCCUUCCGUGUUCUUCCCCACACAUAGCACUACACUUUGCUCUUCGUUUGGUACUUAUGGUAUUCUCUUGAUAACAAUUACCCCGUUCAUGUAUCUCAUUUGCUUAUUUUGUGCCUUUUGCAGAAAUGCCUCCCAAACGCACAUGCGACGCUCCAUCCACUUCAAAGGGGAAAGGCAAAACCUCUUCUUCGUCCAACCUAGGCCGCUCUCGAGUUGAUAAAGGCGGCAUGCGAAGAUUCCUAAGCCCAGAGCAUAAGCUUCGAUUUGAGCAAAUAGUCACCAAAUGGACUAUUUUACCAGAGCGGGAAGUGGCUUUGGAAGAUUUCCCGGGGUUUGAAAUUGAGACAUUAAUCCAUCGUGCGGGCUGGGAAAAGGUGAUAGCUAAACCAUUUGCUAUUUAUCCUACACUUGUUCAAGAGUUCUACACAAAUUUCAACUUCUCCAUCAUCGAGCCUGGGACCGAUCACCAGCACCGAACCUGGGUGCGGGAUAAAUGGUUUAUGUUCACACUUGAGGUCAUUAAUGAAUACCUUGAAUUGAAUUAAGAAGGAAUCAUCCCGAUACCACCAGAGCAGAAUUGGCCAGAGUUAGCACAGGUGUUGUAAGGAAGAGCAGAUGCCUGGCCGCUCCGUCGACUGGAUUUCUUAUACAGUAAUUUAACUGAGUCCCUCAUGGUUCUAAUGAUGUUUGUUUGCUACAAUGUUGAUCCCUCCAAGCAUCAUUACAAGUUCGAUCACACUAAAGCUGCUUUGCUCUACCAUCUAGCUAGAGGGCUCAAAUUUGACUUGGGUACUCACAUCUAUAAUCUGAUUUGUGCCCGCGCUACUGAAGUAGACCCACGACACACACUCAUAUUUCCAAGCCUUAUCUGUAGAAUAUGCAGGGCUUACGAAGUGCAGCUCCUACCAACUGAGCAGGCAAUAUGUCCUGCUGCCCCAAUCAACAUUCUCUCCGCCCAAAACUCUUGGAGAAAAGUCAAUCAGUACAAACAAGGACGACAAGAUAACCAGGAUGAGGCAGGCCAUGAGGAUGACGUUGACAUCCACCCGAACCCGCAACAUGAGCCACCAGCUGAUGCCCCCGUACUGCCACAGAUGUUUGCGACGAUGAUCGGGCUGAGUAGGGAUGUUCAACAGUUGCAGCAAUCAUUUACCGCCCUGGAUUUACGGGUACAAGAUUUACAAACUGACAUUGGGAUUGUACGAGCCAGCGCGAGCAGGACUCAAGAAGAUGUCUUUGAUUUACGUCGAAGUACUGAUAGGCUAAUUGACCAGGGCAGUUCUCAAUUCCUUUCGCACCCUCCUUUUUGCAUUUUAUUCCUUAUUGUGGUACAUUGGGGACAAUGCACCUGUUAAGUUUGGGGGUGAUUUUAUCUUUUAUCUUCAUGUUUACUUGUUUUCGCAUGAUUUCGCAUGAUUGGUAUGUUUUAUCUUUAUAUAAAAAAAAAUUAAUAUUUGUGUGUUGUUUUUAACUUUUGUGUGCUUGUGUGGGUUGGAUGGCCUUGCUGGCAAUGAAGCAUAUAUUGGAACUGUGUAAUUAACUAAGAACCGUGGAAGAAUUAUAUGUUGAGUUAAUUGACACUUGUUGAUGUGAAACUUGAUCUUUAUUGAGCACGAUAUUCAUGUUCUGCAUUGUGAAUUGAUGACUUGGUUUGUAUAAGGAGAAAGUUGAACAUAGUUGAUUCAAUAAAACUUCUUUUAGGAGAAUUUGGAAAUGAUUAAACUAAUAUAGAGAAACAUUGAUAUAAGUAAGGAUUCCAUGUGUGAAAUGAUUGUGUGGAUUAUCUAAAGCCAAUAAGACGAAUUGAGACGAAAACCUUGAGUUAGGGGUCGGUUUCAAGAAUAGGUGUUUAAUAAGGGGCAUUGCACUAAUCUUGACAAUUAAAAGAAGUAAAAAGAAUUUCUCUUCGGAGCCUUUUUAACUUUAGCAAUUAAGCUUGCAAGGGUCCUUAAAACCUGGUGCCCUAUGGUCAUUUGACUUGGGAGUCACCGGCUGAAAACUCUCUACAGGGGUCACUUAGUCACUUAAUGGAAAGAAGUAUAUGUAUAUAUAUAUAUAUAUACCAAGUGCCAAGAUUAAGUCUCGAACAACUAUUCAAGGGACUUAUACCUUUGACAAUGGGUCACGAGCUCAAUUGAGUCUUAGAAGCCGAAGUAAUCAAAAAUAUGGGAGAAUCCUUAUGAGUCGAGAUGGGAAUCUAUAGUAGUUACGAUCUAUCCAAAUGAGAGAGGGUAAGGAUUAGAAUUAGCUAAAAAUCAACCUUAGUGCAUACGUCGGGAAAAGUGAGUAAAAAUCUUAAGUUUGGGGGUGUGUAUCUUACGAGUGAGGAAAGGAAAUAAUUGACUACUACAGGUUGGGAAUCAAACCAGUUAUUAGCGUUAAGAUGUUUACAUGAAUAUUCACAAACACACUUUAAGUUUCACAUUGAUUAAGGGGAAAUUAAUUUCAAUUGUGUAAUUUGGACACUUUUCAAAGUAAUGACACAAUUAUCCAAUCCUGAGACUAACAGCAUACCAUCUAACCAAAGUUUAAUUGGAUUAGGCUAUAAAUUGUUUGAGGGCAAACAAAUGUUUAAGUUUGGGGGUGUUUGAUAAGCGUAUUUUAUACACUUAUUUAAACCAUUAAAAUUGAGUAUUUGUUAAAGAAUUUGAUGGAAUAUGACUUAAUCCUAUUUAUAUAUUGUGUGUAGGUUACAAUCAAUGGAAGAUACGAAAAUAAAGAAAAUAAACAAGAAAAAUGACUCAAUUACAUCAAGGCAAAGUUUGGGGACUAGAAUGUAAUAAUUCAAAAGUUGAAUUGGAUCAAAGAACGAUGAGUUGAGAACACCAAGAGUCAAUUGAAGUUGAAGAGAAGCUAAUGGGACAAAAAAUUUUGGAAAAGGACCAACACACACACUUCAUAAAGUUUAGGGACCAAAUUGCAAAUUGACCCCUAAAAUAGUUGAACUGUGUGUACGCAUGGGCUUCCAGGUCCUGCGUACGCACGAUUGAAAAAUUGAACUUCCGAAGCUAAAUUGAUGGCUAUGCGUACGCACCAAAAUGUACUAUGCGUACGCAUGGUUCAAUUCCGACAAAAAAAAUUCUAUUUCCUUAUUUUGUUUUGGAAAGUUUUGGUUUACAAUUCUUUGUACGAUAUUUAUACCAAAAGUCGACAAAAAUACGGGAUACCUAAUUUUGAUGAGAUUGGAAGCCGACAAAGAGGAAAAAAGAGCGGGGUAUACAUUGAAGAACAAGACUUCAUCACUUGGAUCCGAAAUUGAAGGUAUAAAGUGGAGGAUUUCAGAUUCUUUUCAUACCUUAAUGAUUCAGGUGAUGUCGUUCCUUUAUUUUUCCUAUUUUUCAUACAUUAAUAAGCUAGGUUAGACAUCUUUGUAUUGGAUGGAUGACAAAACUAAUUAACUCCUAGUUUUUAAUUCAAAACCUUAUGUUUUUAUCUUAAUUCUUGCGUUGUGGUUUCUUUAAUAUCCAUAUCUAUUUUGUUUUAAUGUUUGCGCACCAUUAGGACA